GAUAAACGCUGGCGGCGUGCAUAACACAUGCAAGUCGAACGAUGAAACUUAGCUGAUUUCUUCGGAAUGAAAAUAAGUGGAUUAGUGGCGAACGGGUGAGUAACACGUGAGUAACCUGCCUUACACAAGGGGAUAGCCUUUGGAAACGAAGAAUAAUACCCUAUAACGUCAAAAUAUCGCAUGAUAAAGUGACCAAAGAUUUAUCGGUGUAAGAUGGACUUGCGUCUGAUUAGCUAGUUGGUGAGAUAAAAGCCCACCAAGGCGACGAUCAGUAGCCGGCUUGAGAGAGUGUACGGCCACAUUGGGACUGAGACACGGCCCAAACUCCUACGGGAGGCAGCAGUGGGGAAUUUUGCACAAUGGGGGAAACCCUGAUGCAGCGACGCCGCGUGAUUUAGAAGGCCUUCGGGUUGUAAAAAUCUUUUUUAUGGGAUGAAAAUGACAGUACCAUAAGAAUAAGGUCCGGCUAAAUACGUGCCAGCAGCCGCGGUAAUACGUAUGGACCGAGCGUUGUCCGGAAUCAUUGGGCGUAAAGGGUACGUAGGCGGCCUAGUAAGUUAGAAGUGAAAUAAUAUAGCUCAACUAUAUAAAGCUUUUAAAACUGUUAGGCUUGAGAGAUGAAAGGGAAAGUGGAAUUCCUAGUGUAGCGGUGAAAUGCGCAGAUAUUAGGAAGAAUACCGGUGGCGAAGGCGACUUUCUGGUCAUCAUCUGACGCUGAGGUACGAAAGCGUGGGUAGCAAACAGG
rnacentral:rRNA from 1 species